rnacentral:rRNA from 1 species
UGAAGUUUCCUUCGGGAAACGGAUUAGCGGCGGACGGGUGAGUAACACGUGGGUAACCUGCCUCAUAGAGUGGAAUAGCCUUCCGAAAGGGAGAUUAAUACCGCAUAGUGUUGAAAGAUGGCAUCAUCAUUCAACCAAAGGAGCAAUCCGCUAUGAGAUGGACCCGCGGCGCAUUAGCUAGUUGGUGGGGUAAUGGCCUACCAAGGCGACGAUGCGUAGCCGACCUGAGAGGGUGAUCGGCCACAUUGGGACUGAGACACGGCCCAGACUCC